GGAUUGUGGCUCAGCGGUAGAGUGCUCAUCUUGCACGCGCGGGACCCUGGGUUGGAUCCUUAGCACCA
rnacentral:tRNA from 1 species